ACACCAACCAAUCGUCCCCACGGAUACGAAGCCGGAAUUUUCCAAAUCAUAAUACACCCAGAACGGGUAAGACAAUUAAAAAAAUUCACUGCUAAAAGGCGGCUAUUUUUUAAAAAUCGUAUAAAUACAGCUGCAAGGAACAUAGCGCAAUUUCUAUUGCACCAGAUGGCAUACUGAGUACGGUAGUACGCAAUUGAUUGUAUCCUAGACCUUUAAUAAUUAAAGUACUGAAAACCCCGAUUCCAUUGGUGAUCAUAGAACACACUGGUUAUAAAGCAAAACAUGUUACCUGUGGUCUCGUAAUGCUUCCAAUGCAUGCUUGAUUUUCAAUUGUUUACUGUCAAGACCCGUUCGAUUAACACGGACUCGUUCAAUAGCAAUUCUCUUCUCUCGCAGAGAGUAAAAAUAAGCUUCCAAAGCUUAUUUCAAGCCCAAAAAAGAAUGGUCCCAUCCAAAUGAUAUAAGCCCAACAACAAUAAAAACAUACCUCCAAGACGCAAUUUUCCCUUCAAUAUGACCAAGCCCAUAUGAAAGAAUUGAACCGAAUAUUUGUGCUACACAUUAAAAUGUAUGCCAAGCUAAGGUUGUAAUCGGUUGUUCUUCACUACCACUUGGAUGUUAUAUUGAUAAAUGCAGGAGUAAUGGGAGCCUUAAAGAUUCACGUAAGGAAUCGGAGGCCCAAUAAAAAAGGACCAUUCCUGCAAGCAGCCAUCAAACAAACCAAGGCACUCCAAAGUGUAAUGUGGACUAAAAUAAAUAAUGAAAGGGGGGACUUUUCAUGAGUAAUGCAGCUGGGUAUUGAGCAACUAGAUAGCUACCGCAGAGUAUUGUCAUAGAACUAUAGGUAUAGAUGUCUAUGUGGGUGUCUUGUUUCAUAUCAUAAAGAGCAGCAUAUAAAAGAGGUGUCUUGUCCAAAUGCUCGACCAUAAGCUAAGGCACAUGGUUGGCAUCAUCACUAAAUCAAUUUUCCAUAAACUUGUCGGGCUUCUUCUUUUGUAUAUGUUAAGUCAACACCAGCAAGCAGCUCAAAUUCUACGGCAUCUAUGGGCCAAUGUUGUAAAAGGACUAAUAGUACCUUCGACAAUCUUUUCUCUCCAACUGCCUGCUUUUUCUCAUUUUUUAAAUA